rnacentral:rRNA from 1 species
GACGAACGCUGGCGGCGUGCUUAACACAUGCAAGUCGAACGGCAAGGCCCUGCUUUUUUGGGGUGCUCGAUUGGCGAACGGGUGAGUAACACGUGAGUAACCUGCCCUUGACUUUGGUAUAACUUCAGGUAACUGGGGCUAAUACCGGAUAGGAUCUCCUGCUGCAUUGUGGGGGUUGGAAAUUUUCGGCGGUUGGGGAUGGACUCGCGGCUUAUCAGCUUGUUGGUUGGGUAGUUGCUUACCAAGGCUUUGACGGGUAGCCGGCCUGAGAGGGUGACCGGCGACAUGGGGACUGAGAGACGGAGCAGACUCCUACGGGAGGCAGCAGGGGCGAAUAUUGCACAAUGGGAGGAAGUCUGAGGCAGAAACGCCGCGUGCGGGAUGACGGCCUGCGGGUUGUAAACCGCUUUCGCCUGUGACGAAGCGGGAGUGACGGUAAUGGGUAAAGAAGCACCGGCUAACUACGUG